rnacentral:lncRNA from 1 species
CUUUUCCUAAUAGAGUGAUUUAAGCCUUCAUUUUUAGACAUCUAAGCCCUUGGUGAUCAUCAGCAUAAAAUGUGACAAAUUAAACAAAAGCAAGACAGCACAUCAGAGAACAACUCUGAGGUGGAAUGAUUGGGAACCAAUGAAUAGUUGUUCAGUAAAUGGUUUAUAUUUUACAGAUGAUGAAACUGAAACACAAAAAAUUUAGAUUAACUCUUAGGUGACAAAGCCAGGAUUGAAGCUCAUGCGGUCUGGCUCCAGAACAACUCUUCUUCAUAGUUACGUUAUACUGCCCCUGCAUUGUUGGUAUUGAAAGAGGGCUCUGAGAGAUUUCAUUUCUGUCCUGCUGAUGAAGUCUACGUUCAUUCAGGGCCUGCUGUGGAAGACCAGCCCCAAAGUUGCUGAACAGAAGACUUUUGAGAGUCAGCAGAAAUCUUCCACUUUGCAUGGUUCUCUUGAUGUGAAAUCAUCUAUAUAGCCCCAGAAUUGGAAAAGAAAAAAAAUAAAAAAAUGGAAGGAAA